rnacentral:rRNA from 1 species
AGCAGCCGCGGUAAUUCCAGCUCCAAUAGCGUAUAUUAAAGUUGUUGCAGUUAAAAAGCUCGUAGUUGAAUUUUAGGCCUGGCCGGGCGGUCCGUCUUUGGCGAGUACUGUCUUGUUGUCGGGUCUUCCUUCUGGUGAACCAGUAUGUCCUUUAUUGGGUGUGUUGGGGAGCCAGGACCAUUACCUUGAAAAAAUUAGAGUGUUUAAAGCGGGCUAUUGCUUGAAUAGAUUAGCAUGGAAUAAUAGAAUAGGACGUUGUGGUUCUAUUUUGUUGGUUUCUAGGACCACCGUAAUGAUUAAUAGGGAUAGUUGGGGGCAUUAGUAUUCAAUUGUCAGAGGUGAAAUUCUUGGAUUUAUUGAAGACUAACUAUUGCGAAAGCAUUUGCCAAGGAUGUUUUCAUUAAUCAAGAACGAAAGUUAGGGGAUCGAAGACGAUCAGAUACCGUCGUAGUCUUAACCAUAAACUAUGCCGACUAGGAAUCGGGCGACGUUAUUUUCACGACUCG